GACGAACGCUGGCGGCGUGCUUAACACAUGCAAGUCGAACGGGAAGGCCCUGCUUUUGUGGGGUGCUCGAGUGGCGAACGGGUGAGUAACACGUGAGUAACCUGCCCUUGACUUUGGGAUAACUUCAGGAAACUGGGGCUAAUACCGGAUAGGAGCUCCUGCUGCAUGGUGGGGGUUGGAAAGUUUCGGCGGUUGGGGAUGGACUCGCGGCUUAUCAGCUUGUUGGUGGGGUAGUGGCUUACCAAGGCUUUGACGGGUAGCCGGCCUGAGAGGGUGACCGGCCACAUUGGGACUGCGAUACGGCCCAGACUCCUACGGGAGGCAGCAGUGGGGAAUAUUGCACAAUGGGCGGAAGCCUGAUGCAGCAACGCCGCGUGCGGGAUGACGGCCUUCGGGUUGUAAACCGCUUUCGCCUGUGACGAAGCGUGAGUGACGGUAAUGGGUAAAGAAGCACCGGCUAACUACGUG
rnacentral:rRNA from 1 species